AUCAGCGCCCCGGGCUGGAGAGUCCCGGGGAGCUCCUGCUCCCGCAGCUCUGCGGCCCAGCCGCCCGCCCACGCAGUGGAGGCUCUGUUGCCCGGCGCAGCAGGUUCACGGGCUCUUGUUCCACUCGCUCCAGCUGAGAGCGUUUCUUCCUUGAGUGCACCUGCCCCGGGCUGUUUUGUGUAGUCAAGUGCCUGUGGCUCUGUGUGUGUUUACCUAUCAACUACCUGUAAAUACCAGCCCAACUCGUUAUACAGUUUCUAGUAACUUCAUUAUGAGUUAAAGGUUACUGUCCUGUAACUUUCAGAAGAGAACUGAAAGAAGUCUCAGGAGCACUGGCCACUGAAGGCCCGACUGCGAAGCAUUGUCCACCAGGUUCCAGAUGCUAUCAUGAUGCUAAAUGGACUUCCCUGGGCAGACGACCCCACCAAUAUGUCCUGGAACUCCGCUUCCCCAGAGCCCUGCCCCACUAGGGAAAGAGAGAGACAGGCUGGGAGUAUGGACAGACCUGCCAACACCCAUGUUCAGUGGGGAAGCAAUUACAGAAGCCAGACCUUCUACCAUCUGCACCCCACAAUGAUCCUGGGUCCAUACUCCCAGAGGGAUAAAGAAUAGGGAAGCUAUCAACGGAGUGGAUUGGAUAUGGAGCUCUGGGGGUGGGCAAUGUACCCCUCUUAUCCUACAGUCUUGUCAAUACUUCCAUUUUAUAAAUAAAAAUUUUUUAAAGAAUAUUUAUAAUACA